rnacentral:lncRNA from 10 species
UUUUAGUUCACAUUUUUUAAUGUUUAAAAACUAUGUUAACAGAGCAGUUAUAGAACAGAACUUCUUAUAUUUCUUUAUUUACACCACACUCUGAAAAAAAAAACCCAGUUCUAUUUGAUUAACUAUGAAUAGCAAAGUUUUGUGACUUGUGACUCACUUAAAUCACCCAUCUGAAAUUCAUUUACAAGGUUUUUACAUUAAUAAAACAGUAGUGUGGUACAUGUAUUGGACUCAGAUGAAGUCUAAAGUACACUGGACUCUAGAGAGUGGAUUACAUACCAACGACCAAGAUUCAAGUGUUUGGGGAAAAAAAUACCUUAGACAGUCUAUGUUGGCGUCAACACUAAAAUAAAAGGCAAACAUGCAGGACUUUCAAAGCUUGAUUAGAUAAUGGUUCUUUGUUUUCUUUCCUUCAAAUUUGUGCUCAUAAUUAAUAUUCAGGUUCCCUCUCCCCGCUUUCAUAGAUCCCAAAGUUUGAGAAAUGCAGCAAUUCAAUUGUGAAAAAAACAUUCUUCUCCCCAGCUUCUGUUUUCAUAUGUACUGUGUAGUGGUAUCAGUGUUAAAAAUGGAAGAUCAUUAUGAAGAAACAAUUUGUCAUUUGGGUAUAUCUGUUUCUAUAGGACAAGGAUUUGUGUCUAAAUAUUCCUUACUUGUAUCUCAGAGGACUAUCUGUUAAAUAAUUGAUCUUAAUGCCAGCAUAAGAAAUCAAGGGAACUAUUUCUCAGACAUUUCUUUCUCUAAAUUAAGUAGGGUUUCAGGUUCCAAGUUUACAUUGAGAGAACUAUGUUACCUGGGAGAGAAUGUAAAUUUUUCUAAUUCCCAAACAAAACCACUAAUUUCUAGGAAACAUUUAUUGUUUAUAUGCAGAUCCUAGAGACUUCUAUUUCAGUGCAGAUCAACAACUUCAAAAAUAUACAGCCUCCUAUUUAUUUACAAUAAUAUUUACAUACAAAUGAAGUAUUUCCUGCAAUAAGCCUCAGCUGCAUAGAUUCUUCCUUUAAAAACGUAAAUUUGAGCCUGUAUACAGAUGGGCCCAGUUUCAUAGCCCUUCCUUAGAUAAAAGCCUAAAGAAGGAAAAUGUCUGCACCUUGUGAACUUUACAUAUUUUGCAAGAACUUUCUCUUUGAGAUUUAGUGAUAGUUUUUAGUUGUUAGACACCCCACCUUCAGCUUGUACCUGAAAGCUUUAUCUCGUUAUAAAUAAUUCACUGUAAUUUAGGGGAAGUAUGUCCUGUUGCUAAAGGAUUCUCAAACCUGCCAUCCCCAAGGAAAAUCAUGUAUUAGUAUUGCUAAAUGAUGGUCUGUAUAUUCUUUGUUUUGAAGGUGGCUAGAUGUUUGCUGUAAACUUGAAUGGGAGAAUUAUAUUCUUAAAGUUUACACCCCCUAUAAGCCUAAAGCCAUUUAAAUUGAUAAACUGAGAGAGACUAAUAGAUUUUGCUCUAAGGUAUAAAAUCCAUUAUCUGAUCAUAUUCCUGACCUCCCCCCGACUCCAACUAAAUGUGCCAUAGUCCAACACUGUGCCUCACUGAAUUGGAACUCAGUAUUUCAUUCUUUUGAGAGCAGUUUGUAGCUCCUUAAGCAGAGCAGACCUUUCAGUAGAGAAUUCGCUUUAAAAGGAGGACAGGAUUAUCACCACACGAUUAACACAAACACUGGAGAACUUCUGACACAAAUUCAGUAUUUCUUCUAAGUCUGCAUUUACAAAGGGUCUUUUAUUUUAAUUUCUUUCACAACUGCCUCGCCCCAACCAAAGCCUCACUUUCAUUUCCUCACAGCUUUAAAAAAUAAAAUAUUAUCAUGCCUCAGCCCGAGGUAACACCGAGUGCAGGCAGCCUGUGUUUAGGAAUUUGCACCUGCGCUGCUAUUUUCAACGAGAAGGGGAUAACCAGGUGGCAGCGCUGGAUUCACUCACUUUCUUGCCAUUGCAGAGACCCCUGCCGCCAGGCUCCUUUCCUCCCCUCCCUAAAGCCUGGCUCCUGUAUGUUGCACCAUGAGUCCUAGGAAUCAUCUGGUGAGGGAGGACUAAUGGGAAAAAGCAGUCAGUUCCAGGGUAAUAGUCUUAGGUGCUCGCCGAAGCACUGAGGAAUCUUACCACAACCCUGUGUCCACCACAAGCCCUAUCACCAUCACCCAUCUGGGUGCUUCUUUUUCUCAACAGGGUCUGUAACUGUAAAAAAGGAAAGUGGGUGGAGAGGUUUUUUUUUCCCCCUUUUUUCUUGUUUUCUAACCUCCCAGCUUAUUCCUGGAGAGUUAAAACACAGUUACUAGCACUAAAAACAUUAAAAGUGCUGCGCGCUGGCCUCAAUGACUGGUACAUUGGAGAAGCUAUGCAGCAGCAUCCUUUUCUGUGGUGGGCAGGGCAGGAGAUGAACCAUAGGAGCCAAAAGUCAGACAAACAGAAGAAGGCACACCAAGCCUGAACCCUCCGGACAACAGCAGAGUUACCAGCUGAGGGAUGUCCCUGGAGGUUUCUGACCCAUGAGAGGCCCCCUCACCCUCCUUCACCCUCCUCCUACCACCAAGCUCUCCAGCAGUCAUGGACUUAUUCCUCCCCGUUUUUACUGGACACCAUGUUUCAGGCCAAUCUGGUCACCUGUAGUCUGGUGGCAUCUCUACCCCUACUGUCCAGUAGGUGGGAUGUGGCUGGGAUGGACAGUCCAGAUUCUACUAACAGGCAACUCUGAACAAACACCCUCCCUGGAAACAAUAUUAUAUUUGAUGGUUAGAUUCUUUAGCAAACCUAUUACAUUAUUCGAUGUCAGCUAACCUAUUGGUUUGAUCAUCUUUUCCAGCUGCUCUAGGGGCCUAACCACCAUGGAUAACCUGGUCUCUAAAGGAAAAUACAUUCCAGGUUGCAAACAACCAACUGACAACCUUUUGGAAUAUGAUCUCCUUAUACACUGGGGCUGCCUGUGCCUAAACACAGUAGAUUUCCCUCCUGUGCGUAUUUCAUCAGCCCCACUUCCAAUAAGUAACAUUAAGUAAAUUAGGGAUUGACAGUAUUCUGUGUUACAAUAACUAGAGAACAGUUCUAAGUCCAAAGUGUGGAACUGGCACUGUUCACUAGUAUAGAGAUCCUACCUACCAAAGGAAAACGUGCUGCUCCCCAUGCCUAGGGUAUAGUAUUCUUUAAUCUACUAAUUUAGCAGAAAAACUUCCAUAGCACUUGACUGUGCUGUUUAAAUUCGACCUAACAUCUGUGAUACAUGUAUUUUUGGCUACCAAUUAACUAUUCUGAAUAAGAAUAAGAGCAGUAUACUUUACAGCUAAUCUCACACAAAGGAUGUAACUAAUCAGUGAUAUUUGACGAAUUAUGGUAGGGUCUAUUAUAUUCAGUCAACAACAAAUUUAGAGAAACAUACAAAGGUUUUUAAAAAUAUGGGUGGUGUCACACAGAUCAACAACACUGUGCCUCCUCUAAAUAAAUCUAUUUUAAAUAAAUAUUCCUUGUAUUGACACAUGAAACCCAGAGGCCCAAAAAUAUCACUACACAUCCCAGUUAAUGAUAAGGUUCUAAAUUGACUUUGUGAGGGUAAAAUGAAUUGCUAUAAAGUAACAAGGAAAAUAGAAAGUAGCAUAAUAUAGCUUGCAAACUAAAUUAUGUAUUUUUAAAGGUACAGUCAUCCCACUACCUGGCUAUUUCAUUACUUGGUGCUCUAGACAAGCUCCCAAGAACUGACUGGAUCUUGGCUUGUUCUGUUUCUGUCAUUGCUAAUAUAAUAUGGAAAACAUUGCUGAAAAGAACAGAGAUGGCCAUGGAUAUGGCUAGGUUAGGUAUUCAUAUCCAAAUAUCUGAACUCUAACCUAAUGUGGAUAUGAUUCUGUAGCAUUAUAUUAAAAGCUAUGAUGAUGCAAUGCAGGAAAUAACCUUUCAUUCUCCCCCCUAGAGGAUCACGACAGGUGCUUCAAUGCCUGCCUUAUCUAUGGGACAGUAGUGUGAUUCUCAGUGAGAGUGAAGGCCUUUGGGGAUUUGAGUCAGGAAGGGAACAUGGCUAAGUGCCUGGAAACUCUGCCAACAGUCUGCGGUUAGAUUCUACUUGUCUCUGGAUAAGAAAUCUGUGCUCAGUGAACUUAUGUGUUUGGAAAAUUUAACCAGAAUAUAGAGGAAGCAUAAGUCCUGUUUCAAGAGACCAGCUCACGGAGCAUGCACAUUUCUCACCAUAGGCAAGCUAUGGACAAUUCAAUCACAUGGGAUGGCCCCACUUAGGGGAAUGCAGUUCUGGGUUUCCUUGCUAUCCCUAUUCUUUUUCAGCUACAAACUCUCUUCUUUUUCAGUCUCUUCAGUUUCCUUGUGCUCCCUUUAGGAGAGGGACAAGGGUAAGAGUACCAGGCAACUCUGUCCUCCUGCAUGGACAGUUGAGACGGGCAGUAAUGGCACAGUCCUUGGUUGGGGAAGAGAAGAGGAGACAGCACAGACACUGAGACCCCCUUGUCUUCCUCAUCUGGGGGAAGGAAGGUACUCAGUGAUUCUGUCAGAAGCUCUUCACAAAGACUAUCUCUGAGGGUUUUUUUUUUUUUUUUUUCACAAGACUAGAUGGAGAAUUAAUGAAGAAGAAAUAGAAAUGAGGCUUAUUUAAGGUACAAAAUUCUUGUAUUUGUAAUAACCUAGAUUUAUAGAUAUAAAACAAGUCUUUUAAAGACUUCCCUAAAAUACUCAAUAUAAAACAGGAGUUACUUAUCCU